UCUCACUCUCAGUAGUUUCCCGUAUCAAUUAUUUUGGUUAUUGCAGGGGAUUUUUUAAAAUGCUGGGAUUACUUACCAGUCGGAGUCAUAUACUCGUAAUAUCGAAACAGUUCACUUACAAUCCAUCUGCAACAUUGCAACAACAUCAUGAAGAACCAAAUCUUAGUUCUUGCAUUUAUUUUAUUAAUAACAUGCAGCGUAGUAACCAAUUCUGCUCCAUCUUAUGAAGGAGGGUUGAUGGUGCGAUCUAAACGCGAAAUUUCCUGCCAAGCUGCAUCGUCUAGACCUAAUGAUCCGAAGUCAUACAAUGAAGCAUGCAGAGCACAUUGCAUAUUAAAUGGCAAAAACACCGGGGCUUGCGCUGGCGGAUACUGCUUCUGUGCUUAAUUGUUUUUCAAAAUAACAUUUCUUGGUCUAAGUAUUAGUACGUAAGGUUUCAUUGUUUAAUUGGUUUAUAUCUAGUAUAUUCUAACAAACUAUUUGCAGAAUUAGAGCAGUAUAGUUUUAGGUGGCACACUUUGAAUACUUUUACACGCUUAUAUGGCUCUCAAUAUUCAUGAUUCAUUUCACAGUGUUGUUUAAUCAGCAGUAGUUCCAAAAACACGUUGUUUUUUGGAAGGUAAUAUCGUACGUAAUUAUUACAGAAGAACCAAACGGUUCUAAGACUAAGGAACGGUAAAGGAACAUCAAAGUCAAAUCAGGUUAAAAAAUCCAAUAAAAUAGCCACGGUGGUUCUGUGCACAAUCAAACCAAAGUUGAAUGAUCUUCGGGUUCAAAGUGAGGUUUGAAAUUUUGUACGUGCCAACUGCCAAAUACCAGCGGCCUUCCCUUAAUCAUCUUAAAUUCAUGGCUCACAUACACCACUCCACUCCGAGGGUCCUAAAAAUCGUGGACCCAAUUUAGCUGUAAAAUCUCGGCAUUUUGCAUUGUGUUUUGUCUACACCUACACAACAAGAAGAAAAGAUUACUGGUAAAGGAAAACAUUUAUUUGACUGGAGUAAGACUACCCUAGUAUCCGUAUGACCGUCCAUUAUUACCUACUAAACGCAAUCGACAUAAAAACAAAACAUUUAUAUAAUGUAGCUUUUUUAUUUGUAACACUUGAAAGCAAACCUUUUUAGAUUAUUUAAUCCGGACAUGCGCAAAAUCGGUUAACGCAAUUGCGUCUCGUUUUCUCUUUGAAACUGCAAUAUUCUUCGCAGGAUACAUUGCAUAGAGGAUUGCUUCGUUUCGCACGAACGGCCUGACCUAUUAAUAAUACAACAUUAUAAAAAUAAUAGGAUAAUUAUUACAAGUGGAAGAACCAAAUUCGAACAUUUUUAAUCAUUGGUUGAUCAUCGUUUUUUAAAAUCAUACAUAAAUGUUACACCCACCCAUAGAUUCUCCUUGAAAGGAUGCGGCUGACCCGAUUGCAAAUACUACGGACAAAACUACAGCUAAAACGAACACUUUCUUGUACAUCUUCAGAGAUUUGUAAGCUUACAACUGGUGCAUGAACCGAAUUCUCCUGCUUUUUAUCCUGAUGUGUAAAUACGUUAGGAUUCCCCUAUAAACCACGUACUUAGAACAGUGUAGUUACUCAGAGACUUGCUAGUUACCCGAUUACUAACAAUUGAAAAAAUGUAUUAUUUCUAUAAUUGAUUAGCAAAGCAGAUAUACUUGAUUUAUUGCAGCUGACAGCUCACAAUAUAAUUGAUGUGCGACUGCUUGAUAAGAACAAUAUUUAUUUUUAAUUAAUCGUAAUAUUAAAUACACAAAUAACAUUGUUGCUGAACCACAUUGGCUCUAGUGAUUUAUUUGUCCGUUCGGUGUCUUGACAAUCACUAAAAUUCUUUGGCGACAUCGACUUUGGAACCUUGCGACUGUUCCAUAUAAUGUUGAGCAAAUAAGCACCUCCGUGCGGCAUAAUAUAUAUAUCAGUCAUAUCUUCUCCAGAAUUAGUAAAAAUAUUGUCGAAGUUCAACGAAAGCAAUGCCUGGCAUAAGAGCUUGUGUCAAGUAAAUUCAAAAUUUUGGGUACACUACCAAUUUUGUGUAUUCCCAUAGGUUUCGCAGUACAGGUUGUCAUGUUACAGUAUCUGGCAGUGACUAUAUAAAGCCACUCUAAGGGAGCUGUUGGAAGAAUUGAAGAUUCGUGAGAAACAGUCUUUCGUCGUGUUUGAAGAUAACCAGUCAGCAAUAGCAAAUGCUGAGUUUGAAGCGCCCUCCAGAAAACUGUAGCUCACGGAUGUCAAAAUGCACCAUAGAAACAAUUGUGGCAAUAAUUGUAACCAUAGCAAAAUCUACCAACCCGGUUGAAUUAUCGUAAAUCCCCAUAGAUGGAAAAACUGUAUGACAGCACCUGUCAGCAGUUUUUUCGAGUUUACCCGCGGAAAAACUUGACAGCUUGUAAUAGUAUUUCUGUUUAGACGUUCAUUUUUACGUAAUUAAAAUGUUAAGUCUAAAUAGGUAUAAUCAUGACUCCCAAGUACGAAUCCCGAUGAAUGAGAUUAUUGUAUCUAAAGGAAUUUAUUUCAGUUCAUUGUUGAUUGUAUCCGAAUGUGGAUUUUAAAUAUGGCCACCAGAAAGGAAAUUAAAUAUAAGUAAUAAUCGCGGCGUAAAUAGAAUUGUGUUCACCAUAAUGUAAAUUAGGGAAAAAACUGCAUAUAAAUAUCGAGUAUUAACGCUAAGGUCAAAGUCCGAGUCAUUGUAAAUAAUUCAUUUAGAGCUAGUAGAACGAUUUGAAUCCGUCUGUGCUCGCUAUCGCUGUCGAAUUAACAAAAGCCGUCUUUUCACGGAGCAACGUCUGUACCAGUCGCGCCCGUAAAUCAUAAGCGCGUUUUCUUGUAAUAGUGAAUUGAGGCGACUUUUUUAAGAAAAUCAAGAGAAAGAACCGAGCGAAGACAUCUCCAUCCAGCCACUACAUCGAAGACGAUCCUUCACGGCACUCCAGAGAAAAUUAGGAGGAUUGCGAGAUUUCCGAAGAACAGUGUCAUUUUCUGUUUUAUGCGCGGUCCGUGCACAGUCUACUUGGAGGGUGACGAAAAAGUCGCGUUGAAACCUACCUACCUGUGAUUGGCCGAACCGAAACUCGAAUUGCUGCGUGCAGUGGGCGGUCCUGAGCUCAUUGGAUUUCAACAUCGAUCGGAGCGAGACGAGUUGGAGUUGCUGAACAUGUCAAACGUUAACUUUACUUAAUUGAUGGGAAGUAAUCGGCCUUCGUUAGGGUUAAAUCGAUGGUAUUUGUUAGGCGAACGUAAAUUCAACUAUUUAUUUGGAAGUCCAGCUAUUUCGAGUGCCAAUCGCGACUUUUCCUCAGUGGAACCACAUUUAAUUUAGACAUUUGUAAUCAAAUAAAGCGUACUUACAAUGUGAGAUGAAAAAAGUCAAGAAAACCUUGGAUUGUUAAAUGUUAAACUAACAGGAUAUACGUUAGUAAUGGAAACACAGGUUGUCGAGAACAAUUAAAAAUAUAGCCCCACAUGUACUCAUUACGUAACAGCUCAACCAUCUAUAUUUACAAGCAGUGCUGAGAAUUAUGCCAACACUGCAUGGUAGGCCGAUUUCCUAAUUCAACUUGACAAAUUUUAGGUGUAUU